UACGUAGGGCGCAAGCGUUGUCCGGAAUUAUUGGGCGUAAAGAGCUCGUAGGCGGUCUGUCACGUCUGCCGUGAAAACCCGAGGCUUAACCUCGUGGCUUGCGGUGGAUACGGGCAGACUAGAGGUAGGUAGGGGAGAACGGAAUUCCCGGUGUAGCGGUGAAAUGCGCAGAUAUCGGGAGGAACACCGGUGGCGAAGGCGGUUCUCUGGGCCUUACCUGACG
rnacentral:rRNA from 1 species